rnacentral:rRNA from 1 species
CGAGGCGAACCGGGGGAACUGAAACAUCUCAGUACCCCGAGGAAAAGAAAUCAACCGAGAUUCCCCCAGUAGCGGCGAGCGAACAGGGAGCAGCCCAGAGUCAACAUCAAUAUUUACCGCAGGAGAAAGAUCUGGAAAGGCCGGCAAUAAAGGGUGAUAGCCCCGUAUCUGAAGCGGUAAGUGUUGUGAACUCGAAGAGUAAGGCGGGACACGCGUUAUCCUGUCUGAAUAUGGGGGGACCAUCCUCCAAGGCUAAAUACUCCUGACUGACCGAUAGUGAACCAGUACCGUGAGGGAAAGGCGAAAAGAACCCCGGCGAGAGCAGUGAAAUAGAACCUGAAACCGUGUACGUACAAGCAGUAGGAGCACCCGAAAAGGUGUGACUGCGUACCUUUUGUAUAAUGGGUCAGCGACUUAUAUUCUGUAGCAAGGUUAACCGCAUAGGGGAGCCGUGGGGAAACCGAGUCUUAACUGGGCGUUAAGUUGCAGGGUAUAGACCCGAAACCCGGUGAUCUAGCCAUGGGCAGGUUGAAG